rnacentral:rRNA from 1 species
AGGUGGGGUGCCCGAAAGGGAACCAGAACACAGGUGCUGCAUGGCUGUCGUCAGCUCGUGUCGUGAGAUGUUGGGUUAAGUCCCGCAACGAGCGCAACCCUUGUCAUUAGUUGCUACGAAAGGGCACUCUAAUGAGACUGCCGGUGACAAACCGGAGGAAGGUGGGGAUGACGUCAAGUCCUCAUGGCCCUUAUGGGUAGGGCUUCACACGUCAUACAAUGGUACAUACAGAGGGCCGCCAACCCGCGAGGGGGAGCUAAUCCCAGAAAGUGUAUCGUAGUCCGGAUUGUAGUCUGCAACUCGACUACAUGAAGUUGGAAUCGCUAGUAAUCGCGGAUCAGCAUGUCGCGGUGAAUACGUUCCCGGGUCUU